rnacentral:rRNA from 1 species
CACGAAUCAACCAACCGAUCGUCCACGCGUGCGUCGCACCACCCUAUAUAGCCUCCGCCUCGCGUCUCACCCCUCCCAUCACCGGUAUCGAAAUCCAUCCAUCCAUCCAAAGCAGCGGAAGAAGAAGAAAAGGAAAAGAGAAAAAUCCAUCCGGAAGCGCGAGCAAAGGCCAAGGCAGCUUUGCGUGCGAGGCGAGGCGAGGCCGCUCCGAUUCGACAGACGCAGGGCAGGGAUGGACGCCUUCUACUCGACCUCGUCGGCGGCGGCGAGCGGAUGGGGCUACGACUCGCUCAAGAACUUCCGCGAGAUCUCCCCCGCCGCGCAGUCCCACCUCAAGCUCGUUUACCUGACCCUAUGCUUUGCCCUGGCCUCAUCUGCCGUGGGUGCUUACCUGCACAUUGCCCUGAACAUCGGUGGGAUGCUGACAAUGCUUGCGUGUAUCGGAACCAUUGCCUGGAUGUUCUCUGUGCCAGUCUAUGAGGAGAGGAAGAGGUUUGGGCUGCUGAUGGGUGCAGCCCUCCUGGAAGGGGCUUCGGUUGGACCUCUGAUUGAGCUUGCCAUAGACUUUGACCCAAGCAUCCUCGUGACAGGGUUUGUUGGAACCGCCAUCGCCUUUGGGUGCUUCUCUGGCGCCGCCAUCAUCGCCAAGCGCAGGGAGUACCUGUACCUCGGUGGCCUGCUCUCCUCCGGCCUGUCGAUCCUGCUCUGGCUGCAGUUUGCCACGUCCAUCUUUGGCCACUCCUCUGGCAGCUUCAUGUUUGAGGUUUACUUUGGCCUGUUGAUCUUUCUGGGAUACAUGGUGUACGACACGCAGGAGAUCAUCGAGAGGGCGCACCACGGCGACAUGGACUACAUCAAGCACGCGCUCACCCUCUUCACCGACUUUGUCGCCGUCCUCGUCCGGAUCCUCAUCAUCAUGCUCAAGAACGCAGGCGACAAGUCGGAGGACAAGAAGAAGAGGAAGAGGAGGUCCUGAACGUGUUGUCCUCUGCACAUCGUAGAUACCAUCACCGCCGCCGCCGCUACUGGUACCACCUCCACUGCUAAGUACUUGUAGGAAUUAAGCUGGCGCAGUAACUUGUCGCCGUGCCACCCUUGUUAAUUCGCGAUCUGUGUCGUGUGAACCUUGUGUGAGUUUGCUGCUGCUGAUGAAGCUUUUGCAGACGCUGUCUGCGUUCCGGAUCUCUUGCGUUCCUGUUACUGUCUCGAUAAUCGAAACCUGAGACGAUUUGGUUUGGUUGCGAAGAACAUGGCUACGCUCGAUUGUGGCUCGUUGGUUUUAACCUUGUGAUGUGUCUCAUUUCUUUUGAACAAAUUGUCCAACACAUGUUGGUACUGCAGGUUGUUGAGCAAGGCCUGUCCGAUUGUGAUGUUCACCUGUGCUCUUCUCUUGUCGUGUUUCCAGGUAGUUGGCUCGACUGGCACAUCCAACUUGCCCUGGACCUGCCGCCGCGUUUCGGCCAGGCAUCUGAUAGUAGAGCUGUAAAACUAGUUUUUCCCCAACGUGGUUGCCGCGUCCGCCAGUUUUAGGGCGUGUUUGGUUGCAAUAGUGAACAAUUUGUUUCGUUGUCUGUAUGCCCUCUUGCCUGCAUGCAUGGGCUAAAUCACAUUGCCUGAUAUUUUGUUGUAUGCAUGUUAGUGAACAAACCCAAGACAUGACAUGGUUUUAAUUGUGUG